GUGCAUUAAAGUACUAUUCCCUCCAUGAAAAUGCGAUUUUCGUCUUCAACGUCUUUUCAAGUUCUGUCAGCGCUUUCUCUCUAACGUCUGUGACUUUUCAAGAAGGAAAAAAAAAAAAAAAAAUACUACAGGCUCCGACUUCAACGACCCCAAAAUCAUCUUGUCCAUGGACGCCGAAGCAGUGAUCGAGUUUUUGGGCUGCGUCUCGUUGCUUCAACGACUACCGGGCUCAUCUCUGAAGAAGAUCGCAGAAGUUGUCCUCGUCAAACGUUACGAUGGUGGAGAGUAUAUUGUUUGCGAGGGUGAAAGUGGAGAUGGAGUUUACUUUAUAUGGGAAGGAGAGGCUGAAGUUUUCAGAUCCACUACUGGUGAUGAAGAAAGUCAUACAAAGUUCCAAUUGAAGUGCUAUGAUUAUUUUGGUUACAGCAUAUCUACAUACAUCCAUCAUGGGAAUGUAAUUGCUUUGUCCAAGCUGACAUGCUUAGUGCUACCCCAUGAACAUUGUAGUUUGCUACAGAAAAAAUCGAUAUGGAGCAGAGAUAAAAGUCUUGAGACCUGCUUAUCUAUGGAGAGUAUAUUAAACUUGGAGCCAAUAGAAGUAGAUAUAUUCCAGGGGAUCAACUUGCCAGAUGCACCCAAUUCUGGAAGGGUUUUUGGCGGACAACUUAUUGGACAGGCACUGGCUGCAGCAUCAAAAACUGUUGAUUUUCUAACGGUUGUCCAUGGUUUGCAUGCGUAUUUUCUUGUUGGUGGGGACUUUGAUGAGCCAUUUAUAUAUGAAGUUCAUCGGCUUUGUGAUGGAAAAAGCUUUGCUACCCGAAGAGUAGAUGCAAUCCAAAAGGGAAACAUGAUAUUCACACUGCUCGCUUCAUUUCAAAAAGAAGAAGAAGGGUUUGACCACCAAGAAGUAACAAUGCCUGCUGUACCCCCGCCAGAGAUGCUUCGGCCAAUGGAGGAGGUUCAUGAGAGCUUCGUUACCAAUCCACUUCUUCCAAGGACUUAUCGGAACAUGGUGGUGACAGGAAAAUAUAUCCCUUGGCCCAUAGAGAUUCGUUUUUGUGAGCCCAGCACUUCAACAUAUGGGUUUAAAUCUCCUCCAAGUUUGAGGUAUUGGUUGAGAGCAAGGGAUAAACUCUCUGAUGACCAGGCUUUGCAUAGGAUGUGGUUCCACCGGUCGGUCAGAGCUGAUAAUUGGAUAUUUUUUGUGAUCUACAGUCCUGUUGCCAACAAUGCACGGGGCUUUGUUUCGGGCCAAAUGUUCGAUAGAAAGGGAGAGAAAGGAUGAUAGCUUGGAGGUAUCAGUGCAGUUUUCUCAAUGUUGAAUCGAGGUGGUGAGAUCAAAACUCAGGCAUCUCCUCUCAUGUGGUGAUUCUUGGUGGUGGUAUAUUUGGAGUGAUCAUUCAUGAUUUGUUUAAUGAUAUAUGGCUGAAAAUAAAGAACAUAAAAAUAUUUACAUAGUUCAGUAUUGAGAUCUAUGUCUAAAGAUUUUGAGUGUAAAAUUCACUAUAAACAUAGUUGAAUACAAACUUUUCAUUCUCACUAAACUUUCUAUAAUCACUUAGCUCUUAGAAAGUAAUAUCGAAACUCUCUGGUUCCUUCUUUCUAUCCAAUAGUCUCUCCAAACCUUAAAGGAAGUAGAUCCCCCUCUUUGUUGCCUCUAUCCCUCUUUACAUCUAUUCACCUUAAUUUAUGUAUUAUCUUACAGCUUUAUGUCUCAUAUUCAUUUUUUGUCUAACCAGACCUUGUCAUUGUCAAACUAUCACUUUUCCAUUCCUUCCUAUUACAAUGAGCUUUCAUAUUCUAUGGGUUUUCGAUUGACUUUAUUCUUGCUCUCAUUAUUUUUAUUUAUUGGUACGAUGAUCUCUAGCCAUUUCAGUUUGCUGAAGUGGUGCAAAUUGAAAUUAGACGAGGUAUUGGUUUUUGGCAACGUUGUCUUGUGACAGGCGAUGGCGGUUUAGGGUUCCAUGCUCGGCUUAGAAUUACUAGCAUAUUAACGCCAAGAAAAUUAUAAACAUAAACGAAUACAAGUGUGGAGAAUUUAAAUUUUAAAACCAACGGCCUAGAAAAUUCAAAACUUAACUAUAGAGAACAGGCGUUGGAUUCCUCAUUUCAUGUUACCGUUGUAUACUCUUAGAAUAAAUAUACUCCGUAGAGAGAGAAAUACAGUGACUCGGAAGAGAAGAAUCAAUAGAAUCAGAGAGAGAGAGCUACGAAAAUGUCAGAGCGUGAAAGAUUUUACACAAGGAGAGAUCAGCAGAGAGACGGAAAGAGUCGAGAUGAUGAUGCACAACGGGAACAACGACUGCGUAAACAGGGUGCGUCGGCACGACGUCCACGGUGCAUGACAUCGUCUUCAUCUACAAUGAAUGAGCAAUCUCAGGGGCUGAAGACGUAUUUCAAGAACGUAGACGGACGGUACAAGCUCUAAUACAAGAAGACUCACUCCCCUGUUCUCCUCCUUUACUCCCACGGCAAAUCUGUUUGAUAGCAUCCCCGUGUUGAUUUCCUUGAUCCAAAAUCAACUUGAUCGAGCGUCCAAGAUCUGCUAUUGAAGAGAGCAUACAAAACCUGUUUAAUUAACUGGGAAGUUUCCUGGACUAGAUUCAAAUAGUUUUGCCAUGUACUCGUGCAUGCUAUUGCUUAUCAGUAUGUGUUUUUUAAUAGGCUUGUAAGCAAUUUGUAAAUUUCAAGGUUUCGCACAUGCAAAUUUCAAUUGCUUGUUUUGCAUUCACUUUUUACCUAGGUGUUUCCUUGGUGCCAUAAAAUACUUGUGGUCCCAAUCACCAACAGGUAUGCAAUGCUUAGAUACUACUAGAGGUUAGUAUUCUUCUGUAGGUUCUUGCUAUUUUCCUCUUCUGGUAAAACCUCCUGUAUUUGGUGAUGGAUCGAGUAGUUUUCACAUGCUAGACCUUACUUGCCGCAUACAAGUGUAGGCUACAUAUUUAGGUGAAGUUGAAUCUUUGCCAAAAUGUUGAAGUUUGUAUAAGUCCGAGCUAAGUCAAGUUUUUCAUAAUUAUAAACAUCAUUUACUUUUGCAUAAUAUGGGUAUUGUAUAUGCACUUAUACAGAAUAAAAGAAACAUUGUAGAUGUUGAGAACCUUCCUAACUGGUUCAAACUUACGAGUUCCUUUCUUCAUUCCACUCUCGUUAUUAACUAGUUUCCGUUCUGUUACUCAUAUCCUUUUUAUCAUAUAAAUUUUGCUUCAUAUUGGAACAGAGUUGUAUUGUUUAACUUUUUCCUACUUUCUCAGCUCUUUUGAAAAGGCAGAGUAUUAAGAGAUUCCAUCUUGAGGUAUGUGAGGGUGGAGGUAUAAGCUGAAAGGUGGUUAUUAGCUGACAAUUGGAAUGUGCUCAAGCAAUUGAGUCGCAAGAUGUGCUCAUCAACAAUAACCAGCCUGGAUAAAAUAAUGGACUGAGUGCUUGAACUACUUCAGAAAUUUGAUAAAAUUGAUGCCUCUAAGGUAAUUGAUAGAUGUCUUCCAAAGUUACUGUGUUAUGUGUCCCUCUUAAAUUGUUUGGGGAAACAACAAAUCACAAAUUAUACUGUACAUGCUAGUAUCUUUUGUAUAUUGAACAAUCCUGCCUGUUGGAUAACGUUCUAUCUUGAUAUACACGUUUCACAAAAUCUAGCCCAUGAUCAAAGAAAAUUAAUGUUUUUUCACUUAACUUAAAUAAUUUUUAAAAAUACUUGAGCCUGGACAGCUUGGACAAGCUAGAGCUUGUUAUGUCUUUUAAGUAGGAAUUCUCCAUUGAGAUCCUUGAUGAGAAAGCAGAUAAGCUUACUUGCUCUACUGAUGUUGCAAAGUACAUAGUUUCUGGAGCUGAGCAAAAGGUUGUGGAAAACUCCUUAUUUGAUUUUCAAUUUUUUCACCCCUUCAAAGUUUUACUCAAGGAUUGUCUUCUAUGGUUUCUUGACGUUAGUUAGUUGGGCGCAAAUUUAUGUGGGGACAAUCCUUUCUGUUCUUGUGUAAUUCUUUUAUUGAAAGUGCAAUUCAAUAAUUCCAAUUUCUUUUGAGGAAGAAAUCUUAUAUGAACACACACACCAUUACUUACAUACAUACUGUGAAUGUCAUCAUUCUCCUUUUUACAAAUUCAUCUCUCACAACUUAUGGAUAGAGAGGUUUGGAACCCAUAGUUCAAUGCUGGGACCAAAGUGUCAUCCAAAUGAGCAUUUUCGAUUCUUGAAGGGAAGAUCUCUCUCUCUCUCUCAAAGUCACCUGCUUGUCUAACAAUAUUCUUGCCUUGCAGGAAACCGGUUCAUUCACAAGCAGCAAGAUAAAAGAGGGAGGUAUCUCAAAACUAAUCUCCUUGAAUGAUUUUGGUUUCACUUAAUUCUUGAGUUGCAGUCUCAUCGAUUCUGUUUAUAGUAACCUUUCUGCAUGAUGAUUUUCAAUGCUAUUCCUUUUCUUUGUUUGAUUUAAAUUAAAACACACGCUGCUUGUGGAUGCCAAAAUAAUUCCCAAGUACUCAACAGAACAUCAAGGUUGAUGUUCGAAUUAGAAGUAGUUGAGUUGGGCGAGCCAGAUUCUCUCUCUCUACUGUUUAUGCAGCCGGACUUUAAUGUUAAGAUGAGAUCAAAUCUUCUAAACUUGUUGAAUUUCAUGUCUAAUUUUAAAUAUUAUGCUAGAAGCCCUUGUAAGGUGUACAUUUGGUGUCCAUCCUAGCAGUCCUAAUAAAUAUUGUAUAUGACUAUUCAGCCAAAAAAAAAAAAAAAAAUACCGUAUACGAGUUUCUGUCUGUAAAAGCUUUAUUUAGAAGAAACCUCCAUUUAGUAGAAUUUAUGCUCAUUCCAACUAAGUAUGAAGAGAUUGGGGCAACAUAGGCAUAUUAUGCUUUGGGUUCGUAAUAUACGUUUUAGUUAGUCAUUUUUUAAAAAAGAAAUUUGUUUUUCCUUAUGUAGCGUUGAAAAUGGUUGGUCAGCUAUUUCCUUUGCCAAAAGGGUGUCCCCGUUGAAGAUAUUUUGUUGGUACAAAUUACAAUAGAUGUAUAGAUUUAUUUAUUUCAUUAAACUUUGAUAAUUAUCAAAUUAGAAAUUUAAAUCAAUCAAAAUAUAGAACAAAAAAUAGAAAAACACGACAAACAAAAUCAUAAAUUAACAAUCAUGAAUAAUAUUCAAGAAUCAAAACAACAUAGACCCAUAGCUUCAAAACCAACACCAACAACCCAAUCAAUAUUUAAAGCUACAAUUCUACUUAAAAUUCCACAAAUAGUACAACAAAUCCAACACUAUCUGUCUAUCAUAAGGUACAAGUCUACUAAUUAAAGCUGUAUUUUCUCAAUAUGUAUUUAACAUGACUUAAACACCACCUGCCCAACAUAUGGAAUUCACAUAUAAUGUUGACUCCACUUGAAUAAUACAACUGACGAUCAACAUGGUUUGGUAGAGUUUGUUUUUUUAAUCCUUAUACAAUAUGAGUGUAAAAAAUUAAAGGUUGUAAUGCAAUACUUAUGGAAUGAGCUAUAGUUUUAGUGGGUUCUCCACCUACGAAAAGAAUACUUACAGUAGAGAUUGCCAAAAGUGUGAAACUCUCUCAUUGAAAAUCUUUUGGUGCAAUCACGGUAUGAAACUCUUUAUUACACUAUGUUUUAUUAGUCUUUAUAUAUAGACAUUUAUAUAAAAUGUAGUACAUAUUUUUAAAUAGACAUGGCUUAGGAGGUCAAAAUGGUUUUAGUAACAGGUUGGAGCAUUUAAUACUUUUGAUGCACACCUCUAUCUGCCCCAGUCUUUUUUAUACAAUAUAUUUAUUAUUAAUUUUUUCUCCACUUUCUUUUUCUCUCAUUCUCUUCAAGGCUCGCUUCUUCACCUCCUAAUGCUUUUUGCUCUUUUCACUCUCUUCAUCUUCUUCCCCGUCUUCCUCCUUGUUCUUCUUCUACUACUUUCUACUUCUACUUCUCAUUUCUUUCAUGAAAGGAUGGAACGAUCUUUUGACAAUUUUUAUUAAAUAAUAUUUUAAUAAUCUUUUGAUUGAUUUUCUUUUUCUAUAUUUUUUCUACCUUCUUUUUUGUCCUUCGUCUUCUUUUUUCUCUUAUUCUAUGUCAUCUUUCUACUUCUACUUCUAAUUUCUUUAUUGAAAAGAUGGAAUAGCUCAGUUAAUGAUUUUCGUUUGUUGCAGUAGACAUAUGAAUUUAUUGAUUCCAUAAUGCUUUAAUAAUAUUCUAAUAUUGGUAUCAAACAUGUUCUCUAUUUUUAAUUAAAUCUUUUCAUUGCUGAAAUUAACAAUGUACACCAGUAAAAAUAUGAUUUGAAAAAUAUAAAAAAUAAUAUUGACAAAAACUCAAAAUUACAAAUCCACAAUCAUAAACAAUAUUCAAAGCAACAAAGUCCACCACCAUGGGUCCAUAGCAUCACUACCACCUCAAACAAGUACCAAAAUCAAAGUACACAAUUAUGGCCAAUCUGUCAUUGCAGUAAAUAAUAUUCAUAGAUGCAAAAUAUAUGCAACCUGCACAAAUAUUAUUUAAAGUUACAAAUCUAUUAAAAACUCUACUACCGCAGUAUAUCGAAUCCAACACUACCGGUCCAACCUAUCGAAUUCACAUAAUGUUGACUCCUUUUAGGUUAUACAACUGAAGAUUAGCAUGGUCUAAUAGAGUUAGAUGUUAAGUACUAUAAAUUAGAGGUUGUAACGUAAUACUAAUGGAGCGGGCUAUUGAUUUUCUACUGUCAUAAAAGAAUACUUAAGAGUAGAGAUUGUCAAAAUUGUGAAACUUCCUGUUUGAAGAUCUUUUAGUGCAAUCAAGGUAUGAAAUUGUUUAUUAUGCUAUGUUUUAAUAAUACUUUAUAUUGAUGUCAUAUUGAAUAUAUUAGUUGUUUUAGUGGGUUUCUUGUUGUCGAAAAUGAAUGCUUAGAUUGGAGAUUGCAAAAAGUUUAAAACUAUGUUGAAGAUCCUCCGUUGGAAUCAAGGUAUGAGAUUCUUCAUUAUGCAAUAUUUUAAUAAUCUUUUUUCUAUAUUUCUUCUAUCUUCUUCUUCUACUUCCUCUUCAGCUUUCUCUUCUUCUAUGUUUACUGGACUACUUCUCAUUUCUUUGUUGAAAUGAUGGAACAAUUCCGUUGAAGAUUUUCUUUUGGUGCAAUAGAGGAAUGGAUUUACUCAUUCCAUUAUGCUUUAAUAAUAUUCUAAUGUUGGUAUCUAAUGUGUUCUCUUUUUUAAAUUAAAUCCUCUCGUUGCUGAGAUUAAUAAUGUAAUCCAAUAAAAAAAUAUAAGAAUCAAUAUCGAUAAAUCCAGAACCACAAAUCCACAUUCAUAAACAAUACUCAAAGCAACAAAGUCCACCACCAUGGGUCCAUGACAUCACUACCACCUCAAACAAUUCUCAAUAACAAAGUACACAACAACGACCAUGCCGCCAUCGGAAUAAAAUAAUAUUCAUAGCUGCAAAAUCAAUGCCAAUGGCACAAAUAAUACUUAAAGCUACAAAUCUAAAAACUCUACCACUGAAAGACAAUGAGUCCCACACCACUUGGCCAACAUCUUGGAUUCACAUAAUGUUGACUCAUCUUGGAUGAUACAAUUGAGGAUUAGCAUGAUUUACUAGAGUUAGUUUUUUAGUACAAAAGAUUAGAGGUUUUAAGGUAAUAUUUAUGGAGCGGGCCAUAGAUUUUCCACCAUCAUAAAAGAUUACUUUUGAGUGGAGAUUGCUGAAAGUGUGAAACUCUCUUGUUAAAGAGCUUUAAGUACAGGCAAGGUAUGAAAAUAUUUGUUAUGCUAUGUUUUAAAAAUAUUUUUAUAUUGAUGUCGUAUAGACUAUAUUAGUUGUUUUAGAGGAUUUUUUGCAGUCCAAAAUGGAUGCUUAGAGUGGAGAUUGCGAAAAUUCUAAAACUCUCGUGCCAAAUAUCUUUUGUUGCAAUCAUGGUAUGGGAUUCUUUAUUACGCUAUAUUUUAAUAAUCUUUUCAUUGGGUUUUUUCCUAUAUUAUUAUUCUUCUAGAUCCUGUUUCUCACUCUUUUUCUACGACUUCCUUCUAUUUCUACUUCUCAUUUCUUUGUUGAAAGGAUGUAAAAGCUCCAUUGAAGAUUUUCUUUUGGUGUAGAAGUAUGGAUUUAUUUAUUCCAUCAUCCUUUAAUAAUAUUCUAAUAUUAGAAUCAAACGUAUUCUCUUUUCUUAAUUAAAUCUUCUCAUUGCUGAAAUUAACACUGUACAUUGCUAAAAAUAUGAUUUGAAAAAUAUAAAAAAUAACAUUGACAAAACCAAAACCACAAAUUCACAACCAUGAACAGUACUCAAAACAACGAAGUCCACCACCAUGGGGUCCAUGGCACCACCUCAAACAAUUAACAAAAUCAAAGUACACAACAAUGGCCACGACAACAUCGUAUUAAAUAAUAUUCAUAGACACAAAAUCAAUACCAACAGAUCAAAUAAUAUUUAAAGCUACAAAUCUACUAAAAACUCUACUAGUGAAGUAUAAAAGAAUCCUACACCGCCUGGCCAACCUAUCGAAUUCACAUAAUAUUAACUCAUUUUAGAUUAUACAAAUGAGAAUUAUCAUGGAGGAGGGGGCUACGGAUUUUCCACCGCCUUAAAAGAAUAGUUAGAGUGGAGAUUGCGAAAAGUGUAAAACUCUCUAGUUGAAGAUCUUUUAUUGCAAUCAAGGUACGAAAUUGUUUAUUAUGUUAUGUUUUAAUGAUACUCUUGUAUUGAUGUCAUAUUGAGGUUUAGUGGGUGUUUUGCUGUAAAAAAUGAAUUCUUAGAGUGGAGAUUGCAAAAAGUUUAAAACUCUCACGCUAAAGAUCUUUUAUUAAAAUCAAGAUAUGUAUUCUUUAUUACGGAAUAUUUUAAUAAUCUUUUGGUUGCUUUUUUUCCAAUAUUUUUUCUAUCUUCUUCUUCUUCUAGUUCCUCUUCCUCUUUCUCUUCUUCUAUAUCUUCUUUCUAUUUCUACUCCUCAUUUCUUUAUUGAAAGGAUCGAAUAGCUCCGUUGAAGAUUUUCUUUUGAUGCAACAGAGGUAUGGACUUAUUCAUUCCAUUAUGCUUUAAUAGUGUUCUAAUGUUGGUGUCAAACAUGUUUUUUUUUUUUUUUUAAAAAAUUAAAUCUACUCAUUGCUGAAAUUAACAAAUGUACACUACUAAAAACAUGAUUUGAUAAAAUAUAAAAAAUAAUAUUGACAAAUCAAAAACCACAAAUUCACAAUUAUGAAAUAAUACUCAAAUAAACAAAGUCCACCAUCAUGGGUCCAUGACAUCACUACCACCUCAAACAAUUCUCAAUAACAAAGUACACAAAAAGGGGCAUGCUGCCAUUGCAAUAAAUAAUAUUCAUAGUUGCAAAAACAAUGUCAACAACACAAAUAAUAUUUAAAAACUAUAAAUCUGCUAAAAAUUCUACUAUUGGAAUACAAAGAAUCCAACACCACUAGGCCGACAUAUCGAAUUCACAUAAUUUUGACUCAUCUUGCACGAUACAACUGAGGAUUAGCAUAGUCUUCUAGAGCUAGUUUUUUAGUACAACGAAUUAGAAGUUGUAAAGUAAUACUUGUGGAGCGGGCUAUGGAUUUUCUACCGUUGUAAAAAAAUACAGAGUGAAGAUUACCAAAAGAUUGAAACUCUUGUCAAGGAUCUUUCAGUGCAAUCAAUGUAUGGAAUUGUUUAUUAUACUAUGUUUUAAUAAUACUCUUACAUUGAUGUCAUAUUGACUAUAUUAGUUGUUUUAGUGGGUUUCUUGCUAUCGAAAAUGAAUACUUAAGAGUAGAGAUUGCAAAAAGUCUAAAACUCGUUUUAAAGAUCUUCCGUUGGAAUCAAGGUAUGAGAUUCCUCAUUAUGCAAUAUUUUAAUAAUCUUUUUCUGUAUUUUUUCUAUAUUCUUCUUCUACUUCCUCUUUUGCUUUCUCUUCUUUUAUGUUUACCAGACUACUCCUCAUUUCUUUGUUGAAAGGAUGGAACCGUUGAAGAUUUUCUUUAGUGCAAUAUAGAUAUGGAUUUACUCAUUCCAUUAUGCUUUUAAUAAUAUUCUAAUGUUGGUAUCUAACGUGUUCUCUUUUUUAAAUUAAAUCCUCUCAUUGCUGAGAUUAAUAAUGUAAUCCAGUAAAAAAAAUAUAAAAAAUAAUAUCAACAAAUCCAAAACCACAAAUCCACAUUCAUGAACAAUACUCAAAGCAACAAAGUCCACCACUAUGAGUCCAUGGCAUCACUAUCACCUCAAACAAUUCUCAAUAACAAAGUACACAACAACGACCUCAUUACUCAAUAAACAAUUCAUAGCUACAAAAUUAAUUCCGACAGCACAAAUAAUACUUAAAGUAAGAAAUCAAAAAACUCUAUAACUGAAAUACAACGAAUCCCACACCACUUGGCCAACAUAUGAGAUUCACAUAAUGUUGACUCCUCUUAGAGGAUACAAUUGAGGAUUAGCAUGAUCUAUUAGAGUUAAUUUUUUAGUACAAAAGAUUAGAGGUUUUAAAGUAAAAGAUUACUUUUGAGUGGAGAUUGCCGAAAGUGUGAAAGCUCUCUUGUUAAGUAACAAGGUAUGAAAAUAUUUAUUAUGCUAUGUUUUAAUAAUACUUUUAUAUUGAUGUCUUAUAGACUAUAUUAGUUGUUUUGGAGGAUUUUUUGCAGCCCAAAAUGGAUGCUUAGAGUGAAGAUUGCGAAAAUUCUAAAAUUCUCAUGCUAAAGAUCUUUCGUUGUAAUCAUGGUAUGAGAUUCUUUAUUAUGCAAUAUUUUAAUAAUAUUUUCAUUUCUUUUCCUUCUUCUACUUCCUCUUCCGCUUUCUCUUCUUCUAUGUCUACUAGACUACUUCUCAUGUCUUUGUUGAAAGGAUGAAACAAUUUUGUUGAAGAUUUUCUUUUGGUGUAAUAGAAGUGUGGAUUUAUUUA